AGACAUACUGAGGGGAUGGGAGAGAGACACAUUGAGGGGAUGGGAGAGAGACACACUGAGGGGAUGGGAGAGAGACAUACUGAGGGGAUGGGAGAGAGACAUACUGAGGGGAUGGGAGAGACACACACUGAGGGGAUGGGAGAGAGAGACACUGAGGGGAUGGGAGAGAGACAAACUGAGGGGAAUGGGAGAGAGGCACACUGAGGGGAUGGGAGAGAGACAUACUGAGGGGAUGGGAG